rnacentral:tRNA from 1 species
GAGGUUGUGGCUCAGCGGUAGAGCCCUUGCCUAGCAUGUAGGAGGCCCUGGGUUCAAUCCUCAGCACCACA